UCGAGGAUCUUCGGCAAUGGGCGCAAGCCUGACCGAGCGACGCCGCGUGCGCGAUGAAGGCCUUCGGGUUGUAAAGCGCUGUCGAGGGGAAGGAAGCCGCAAGGCUGACCGACCCCUGGAGGAAGCACGGGCUAAGUUCGUGCCAGCAGCCGCGGUAAGACGAACCGUGCGAACGUUGUUCGGAUUCACUGGGCUUAAAGGGCGCGUAGGCGGGCGGCCAAGUCAGGGGUGAAAUCCUCCGGCUCAACCGGAGAACUGCCUUUGAUACUGGUCGCCUGGAGGGAGGUAGGGGUCGACGGAACUUCCGGUGGAGCGGUGAAAUGCGUAGAUAUCGGAAGGAACGCCGGUGGCGAAAGCGGUCGACUGGACCUCUUCUGACGCUGAGGCGCGAAAGCCAGGGGAGCAAACGGGAUUAGAUACCCCUGUAGUCC
rnacentral:rRNA from 1 species